rnacentral:rRNA from 1 species
AGAGUUUGAUCAUGGCUCAGAUUGAACGCUGGCGGCAGGCCUAACACAUGCAAGUCGAGCGGUAGCACAGAGAGCUUGCUCUCGGGUGACGAGCGGCGGACGGGUGAGUAAUGUCUGGGAAACUGCCUGAUGGAGGGGGAUAACUACUGGAAACGGUAGCUAAUACCGCAUAACGUCGCAAGACCAAAGUGGGGGACCUUCGAGCCUCAUGCCAUCAGAUGUGCCCAGAUGGGAUUAGCUAGUAGGUGUGGUAAUGGCUCACCUAGGCGACGAUCCCUAGCUGGUCUGAGAGGAUGACCAGCCACACUGGAACUGAGACACGGUCCAGACUCCUACGGGAGGCAGCAGUGGGGAAUAUUGCACAAUGGGCGCAAGCCUGAUGCAGCCAUGCCGCGUGUAUGAAGAAGGCCUUCGGGUUGUAAAGUACUUUCAGCGAGGAGGAAGGCAUUAAGGUUAAUAACCUUAGUGAUUGACGUUACUCGCAGAAGAAGCACCGGCUAACUCCGUGCCAGCAGCCGCGGUAAUACGGAGGGUGCAAGCGUUAAUCGGAAUUACUGGGCGUAAAGCGCACGCAGGCGGUCCGUUAAGUCAGAUGUGAAAUCCCCGGGCUCAACCUGGGAACUGCAUUUGAAACUGGCAGGCUUGAGUCCUGUAGAGGGGGGUAGAAUUC